rnacentral:snRNA from 1 species
GAGGUGAACAUGAUCCGGCUGGGACACCUUCACCCCACUGACAUCUAGGGUUGGUUCGCCUGAUGUGGUUGGCUAGGCGGGGGGCCCUUUCCUCCCUCAGUGCCCCAUUGGGUCCUACCUUAAGCUGCCUGGUAGGUCACAGAGAACAACCACCCAGAUAGAGGAGAAUCUUUCCUCUGUCAAAGAUAUUCAAGUAGCUGUGCUUCCCCACAAGAGCCUCCAGAGAAGUGCUCUAGAGUUUACUGAAAAAUUUAAAAUUACUUCUUUUUCUUUUUGCAGAACCAGGGAUUGAA